rnacentral:rRNA from 1 species
GGGGGGGGGGGGGGGGGGGGGGGGGGGAGGGGAGGCGGGCGGACAGGGGGGGGGCUGGGGGCGGUGAGGGGAGCGGCGGACGGGUGAGUAACGCGGGGAUAACCUACCUAUAAGACUGGGAUAACUUCGGGAAACCGGAGCUAAUACCGGAUAAUAUAUUGAACCGCAUGGUUCAAUAGUGAAAGACGGUGUUGCUGUCACUUAUAGAUGAAUCCGCGCCGCAUUAGCUAGUUGGUAAGGUAACGGCUUACCAAGGCGACGAUGCGUAGCCGACCUGAGAGGGUGAUCGGCCACACUGGAACUGAGACACGGUCCAGACUCCUACGGGAGGCAGCAGUAGGGAAUCUUCCGCAAUGGGCGAAAGCCUGACGGAGCAACGCCGCGUGAGUGAUGAAGGUCUUCGGAUCGUAAAACUCUGUUAUUAGGGAAGAACAAAUGUGUAAGUAACUAUGCACGUCUUGACGGUACCUAAUCAGAAAGCCACGGCUAACUACGUG